GACGAACGCUGGCGGCGUGCCUAAUACAUGCGAGUCGAACGCUGAAGGAGGAGCUUGCUUCUCCGGAUGAGUUGCGAACGGGUGAGUAACGCGUAGGUAACCUGCCUGGUAGCGGGGGAUAACUAUUGGAAACGAUAGCUAAUACCGCAUAAGAGUAGAUGUUGCAUGACAUUUGCUUAAAAGGUGCAAUUGCAUCACUACCAGAUGGACCUGCGUUGUAUUAGCUAGUUGGUGGGGUAACGGCUCACCAAGGCGACGAUACAUAGCCGACCUGAGAGGGGGGUCGGCCACACUGGGACUGAAGCACGGCCCAGACUCCUACGGGAGGCAGCAGUAGGGAAUCUUCGGCAAUGGACGGAAGUCUGACCGAGCAACGCCGCGUGAGUGAAGAAGGUUUUCGGAUCGUAAAGCUCUGUUGUAAGAGAAGAACGAGUGUGAGAGUGGAAAGUUCACACUGUGACGGUAUCUUACCAGAAAGGGACGGCUAACUACGUG
rnacentral:rRNA from 1 species